rnacentral:rRNA from 1 species
AGAACGAACGCUGGCGGCAGGCCUAACACAUGCAAGUCGAACGCUGUAGCAAUACAGAGUGGCAGACGGGUGAGUAACGCGUGGGAACCUUCCCAGUGGUGCGGAAUAGCUCAGGGAAACUUGAGGUAAUACCGCAUAAGCCCUUAGGGGGAAAGAUUUAUCGCCAUUGGAUGGGCCCGCGUCGGAUUAGCUAGUUGGUGAGGUAAUGGCUCACCAAGGCAACGAUCCGUAGCUGGUUUGAGAGAAUGACCAGCCACACUGGGACUGAGACACGGCCCAGACUCCUACGGGAGGCAGCAGUGGGAAUCUUGGACAAUGGGCGCAAGCCUGAUCCAGCCAUGCCGCGUGAGUGACGAAGGCCUUAGGGUUGUAAAGCUCUUUUGCCGGGGACGAUAAUGACGGUACCCGGAGAAUAAGUCCCGGCUAACUUCGUGCCAGCAGCCGC